rnacentral:rRNA from 1 species
AUGGAAUCUGUGAAGGAGUUCGCCCACCGCCGCUUCCAGAAGCUAGGCCGAUGGUUCCGCAGGGAGACCGCUGCCGGCGACGGCCUGCAGGUCUUCGCCCUCGGCCUGAACAAGCGGCUUGCGGACGACGCCGGCAGGAGCGGCAACCUGGUCUUCUCGCCGCUGUCCGUCUACGCGGCGCUCUCCCUGGUGGCCGCGGGCGCCCGCGACCGCACCCUUGACGAGCUGCUCGGCGUCCUCGGCGCGCCGUCGCGGGACUUCCUCGCCGGCCACGUCCGCGCGCUCGCCAAGCAGGUCCUCGCAGACCGGUCCCGGACAGGCGGCCCGCGCGUCAGCUUCGCGAGCGGCGCGUGCGACGGGCUGUGGCGGCUCACCGACAAGAUCGUCUGCAACCCUGACUUUCUGCGCCAGCAUCUGCCGAGGAGCACCGUCCUGGUCGACGACUUCCGGAUGCCUAAAUUCAAGGUCACCUUCGGCAUGACAAUGAACAACGUUCUCCAGGAGAUGGGGGUCAAGGAGGUGUUUGAGCUGGGGAAGGCCGACCUGUCCGACAUGGCGGAGGACGGUGCAAGGAGGAAGCUGGCACUGGAGCAGGUGAUCCACAGGGCUGUCAUCGAGGUGAACGAGGAAGGCACGGAGGCCGCGGCGGCCACUUACUCGAUGGCACCCAUGUGCUCACCGAACCCAGCACCGCCUCCGCCGCGUGUGGACUUUGUUGCUGACCAUCCGUUUACCUUCUUCGUCGUCGAGGAGGUGUCCGGCGCGAUCCUGUUCGCUGGGCACGUCCUUGACCCCACCAUCAAGUGA